rnacentral:rRNA from 1 species
UAAGACCUUGCGCUAUUGGAUGAGCCGAAGUCGGAUUAGCUAGUUGGUGAGGUAACGGCUCACCAAGGCGACAAUCCGUAGCUGGUCUGAGAGGACGACCAGCCACACUGGGACUGAGACACGGCCCAGACUCCUACGGGAGGCAGCAGUGGGGAAUAUUGGACAAUGGGGGCAACCCUGAUCCAGCGACGCCGCGUGUGUGAAGAAGGCCUGCGGGUUGUAAAGCACUUUUAGUGGGGAUGAAAAGCUCAGGGCUAAUACCUCUGGGUCUUGACCUAACCUACAGAAAAAGCACCGGCUAACUCUGUGCCAGCAGCCGCGGUAAUACAGAGGGUGCGAGCGUUAAUCGGAAUUACUGGGCGUAAAGCGUGCGUAGACGGUUUCGUAAGUCGGAUGUGAAAUCCCCGGGCUCAACCUGGGAAUUG